rnacentral:rRNA from 1 species
AGUGAACGCUGGCGGUAGGCCUAACACAUGCAAGUCGAACGGCAGCACAGAGGAGCUUGCUCCUUGGGUGGCGAGUGGCGGACGGGUGAGGAAUACAUCGGAAUCUACUCUGUCGUGGGGGAUAACGUAGGGAAACUUACGCUAAUACCGCAUACGACCUACGGGUGAAAGCAGGGGACCUUCGGGCCUUGCGCGAUUGAAUGAGCCGAUGUCGGAUUAGCUAGUUGGCGGGGUAAAGGCCCACCAAGGCGACGAUCCGUAGCGGGUCUGAGAGGAGGAUCAGCCACACGGGAACUGAGGAACGGUCCAGACUCCUACGGGAGGCAGCAGUGGGGAAUAUUGGACAAUGGGCGCAAGCCUGAUUCAGCCAUACCGCGUGGGUGAAGAAGGCCUUCGGGUUGUAAAGCCCUUUUGUUGGGAAAGAAAUCCAGCUGGCUAAUACCCGGUUGGGAUGACGGUACCCAAAGAAUAAGCACCGGCUAACUUCGUGCCAGCCGCCGCCGUAA